GUGGCCUAGUGGUUAGAGCGUCCGCCUCGAAUGCGGGAAGUCGUGGCUUCGAACCCCGGCAAAGUCA